GACGGAAAAUACAACAGACCUCGUGACGACCUAACCUCAAAAUGGGAGCAGUGGGACAAGUGGACAUACCCUAUUCGGAUGAUGCUGACUUUGAAGACUUGCAGGAUAAAGAUAGGACUGUGGAAUUGGUUGGAUAUGUUUGUUCCGUUGAGGCUCCGGUUCAGCAGAAUCAUUUGAUUUAUUCAAAUUUGGAUUGAGUAACGGAACAAAGAAAGUAAUGUGUCUGAUAUAGGGUAAGGAGUUGAUCGACAGACACCAACCACAAGUUCUGCUUAACAGGAGACUUCAUGUGAAUAAAGGCUUAUGCAAGUCAUCGAAAUUUCCAAAGCUGCUCGAGUCUCAAGGAUUCUUGCCGUAUGAAAUAAUCAUACAACCCAACACAACUUUUAAUUUCUUGGGAGUUCAUACCAUGUUGGCUGGACCACCGGUUGUACCGCCAAGGCAAGUCAACUUUGAUACCAUCAGGGAUGUUGAGGGAAAUAUAUCCAUCGAUGGACACAUAAAAGCAGAAUUUUCACCUACUGCCAGUCGCUAUCAAAAUGCUAUGUACGCUUGUGGUUCUAUAACAGAUGGCGUGCAUAAAAUUAUUGUCAAUAUCUCAAAUUAUACCGUGCCUGUAGAAGCGACCAGAGGAAUGGCAGUUACCGUCAUCGGAAAUAUUGUCAAUGACCCAAGUAUACCUUUAACUAUUUCUUGCGCAGACUCUACUUUGCUAACACUACGUGAGGAGGAACCACUGCCAGAACUAGAUUUAUUACGAGCGAACAGAACAUUGAAAAGAAGAACUCCUCCGGAGUAAAACUAAGAAGAUUAAUAUCUUAAUACUUUGGUUUCUGCCUUUAUAAAAGUUUGUUCGUUUUUUACUGUUCCUUUUUUACAGUUCGUUUUUUACAGUUCGUUUCUUACAGUUCGUUUUUAUAUAUCUUAGUUUUUUUCUAACUUUUAAAAACAUGGUUUUCAAACCAUUUUAAGUUUUGCAAAAUAAUGCAAAAACAUGACUAGAGUCAGUAGAAGAAGGACUAGAGUAUUUAUUGUGGUGUAAAAAAAUGACUAGAGUAAGUAAAAAAGUGUGCAAAAGCACGACUAGAGUGACUAAACAUUUGUUUUUUAAAAGAAUGACUAGACUGCUUAAAAUAUAUUUAUUAUGUAAAAGAAUGAUUACAGUAUUGCGUAAAAGAGUGACUAGAUAAGUCAAAUAUUGCAAUAAGUACAAUUAUAGUCAGUGCCACAUUGUGGAAAAGAAUGACUAGAAUAAGUAAAAUAUUGUGAAAAAGAAUGACUAGAAUAAGUAAAAUAUUGUGAAAAGUGUCAUUAUAGUCAGUACCACAUUGUGGAAAAGAAUGACUAGAUUAAGUAAAAUAUUGCGAUAAGAAAGAUUAUAGUCGGUACCACAUUGUGGAAAAUAAUGACUAGACUGCGUAAAAUACUGUGACUAGACUAACUAAAAUAUAUUUUUGUUUAAAACAAAAUAACUACAUUAACUUAAAUAUUGUGCAAAAGCAUGACUAUAAAAUAUAUUGUAUAAGCGAAUGACUAGACUAAGAGAAAAAUUGUGUAAAAGCAUGCGACUACAGUCAGUAUUAAAUUUGUGUACAACAAUAACUAGAGCACGUAAUAUAGUUGAAGCAACAAUGGAAAAAAACUGUUAUAAUAUUAAUAUUUAAUAUAAAUAAUAGAGUUGAUCAAAGUCAAAACUCUAUAUAUUGUUGCAUUCUAAUGUAUAAUUUAAAAGGGUAAUUUAGACUAAACAUAAUCAUAUGUACAAUUGUUACAUAAAAUAUAAUAAUAAAGUUUUAAACCCUAAUUUUGUAACAAGAACAAGAAUGUUAAAAUAAAGUGUGUUCACAAAUUUUUCAGUUUUAUUUAUUUAUUUUUUAAGUAAAUUUUUAUAAUUCAAUGAUUCAAUUCAGUUUAAAAGUUUUUCCGUGGGUGCGUGAACACAAUAUUCACUGCCACUGCGAAGAAGCUAUGCGCAUGCGUGAGAAAAGAAAAUCAAUAAAACCACUUAUGGUGGCCAGACGCAAACGGCGUUGCGUAGCCGCAUGUAUACCGUCAAAAGAAGGCAGGUGCAGGCCCUUUUCUGAAUUGUUUUUACAUAAAUUAAGGGGAAAAAGAAACCGGAUUCUAUUAUUUAUCCACCAAUGAUAUUCCGGUAUUGAUAUUAUUUGCAAAAAUUGAUUAUCAAUAGAACAAUCAAGGCAGUGUUUGGCGUUUACUACUGCAACCAGUAUCUACAAUUGCCAUUUCAGACAAAAUAAGAAAAGUUUGGUUUUCUAGGAUACAUUUGAAGCUGUUACAACACUUACUUCUUUGUUUACUAUUAUUUAAUUAAAAAAAAUGUAAACAUUUUUUGUAUCAUUAAUUUUUUAUUAAAGAUAAAGACAAAUCAUUUAUAAUAA
rnacentral:lncRNA from 1 species